GCGAGAGUGGCGGAACGGUAGACGCAGUCGACUCAAAAUCGACCGUCCCAAAAGGACGUGGGGGUUCAAAUCCCCCCUUUCGCA
rnacentral:tRNA from 1 species